AGUGAACGCUGGCGGUAGGCCUAACACAUGCAAGUCGAACGGCAGCACAGUAAGAGCUUGCUCUUACGGGUGGCGAGUGGCGGACGGGUGAGGUAUAUAUCGGAAUCUACUUUUUCGUGGGGGAUAACGUAGGGAAACUUACGCUAAUACCGCAUACGACCUACGGUUGAAAGCAUGGGUUCUUCUGAUCUUUCGCGUUUGUAUGAGCCGAUGUCGGAUUAGCUUGUUGGCGGGGUAAAGGCCCACCAAGGCGACGAUCCGUAGCUGGUCUGAGAGGAUGAUCAGCCAAAGUGGAAGUGAGACACGGACCAGACGCCUACGGGAGGAAGCAGUGGGGAAUAUUGGACAAAGGGCGCAAGCAUGAUCCAGCAAUACCGCGUGGGUGAAGAAGGCCUUCGGGUUGUAAAGACCUUUUGUUGGGAAAGAAAAGCAGCAGGUUAAAACCCCGAUGUUCUGACGGUACCCAAAGAAUAAGCACCGGCUAACUUCGUG
rnacentral:rRNA from 1 species